CCGCGUUUCAUCAGCCGAGCGCCCCCCCGGGACGCCGGAAGGAGCCUCCGCGCGGAGCCGACCACGUGCACGGCAUCUUGGGGCACGGGUUCCCGCCGUCUCCCCACUGUAAAGGAGCGGCUUACUCCAGAGGUCCAGCCCCCUCACACACAAUCACGGAACCCGUGGAUGAGGCAGUAUUUGAGACCAGAAGUUUAUUGGGGACUUGGGUUUGGUUUUUGUUUGGUUGGUUUUGUCGUUGUUUUUAGAGUCGGGGGUUUCGCUGUGUUGCCCAGGCUGCUAUCGGACUCCUGACCUCAAGCGAUCCUCUUGCUUGGCCUCCCAAAGUGUUGGGAUUACAGGCGUGAGCCACCGCACCUGGCCGGGGACUUGUUUCUAAUGGAAAAUUGUGUAUGUGCUGUAUUGUUAAGAGCAUUGGUUUGGGGUCAGACUAGGCUGUGAUUCGGGUCUCUCCACUUCUUAUUAUCGUCUUUGGUAAAUUAUUUAACCUCUUUGUGCCUUCGUUUUCUGUAAAAAGCAGAUAAUUAUAGCUACUUCAUGAGGUCGUGUGAAGAUUUAAUGAGAUAGUGUGUGUGAAAUGUUCACAGCUACCAGACACAUACUCACUCGUGUUCCCAAUUGCUAUACUCACAAGGGCUCACUCCCAUCGCCAUCCUUCGUAAUUUCAAAGGGUCUACGGUUAAAAAUCUCCCUGAACCACUGGCCAAAUCUUUCAAUAAAGAAUGUGCUUAACCUGCCUCUUAAGACCCAUGUAUUUGCACAAGAAGGAAAAAAAAAACCAGAAAAAAAAGCAAAACUAGAGCUGCCUGCCUGUGCUGAAGCUUUUUCAGUAAUUUCAGAGCCACUGAAGUGAUGUGAGAUCAGUUGACAAGAGAAAAACACUCUGAGAUCUGCCAGAAUGACCCUCAAGGGGAGAAAAAUAAUUAAACAGGUGGAAAAACAAGGAACACGCAAGACUGAUCAAAGCGUUUCUUUUCUGUUGAACAGCUUUUGCUGACUUCUGGUACCAUCAGUUUUCUUGAGUACAAUAAAGACCAACAAAUGCAGAAUGUUAGUUACGGGCCUUACUCAAUCAGGCUCAAAGGCUUUACUGGGGUUACAGGAAGCCAAGUACCCAGUCCACUAAUGUCCUGGGAGAAAAGCCUGAAGGCAGAGCAUGGUAGGUUUUCUCUUGCAGCCUGCAGGCUGAUCUGAUGGGACUUCAAUUCUGUCACUUCCUUGCUCUGUGACAUUGAACAUUCUGUAAGCCUCUGGGCCUCAGCUUUCUCAUCCAUGGAAGUGGGAUUACAGUGUCUAACCUGCAGGGCUGCUGUGUGUUUAUAUAUGUGCAUAGAACAUAAUGGCCUUCCCUUGAUAGAAGCAGAGAUUGGACAUGUGGCCUCUGACAAGUUACUUUUUUUUUUCUACAAGUUUCCCUCUCCUCUCCCCCAUUCAGAAAGUGGAAGGGGUAAUUCUUCAGGGAAUUUGUGAGAUGUUACCACAAGGUUACACAAUGGCUUGCUGUAAACUAUUUUAUGUCUUUUUUUUUUUUUUUUUUUUGAGACGGAGUCUUGCUCUGUCACUCAGGCUGGAGUGCAGUGGUGCGAUCUCGAUCUCAGCUCACUGCAACCUCCAACUCCCAGGCUCAAGCGAUUCUCAUGCCUCAGCAUCCUGAGUAGCUGGGACUACAGGUGCACACCACCACGCCCCAGUAAAUUUUUUGUAUUUUCAGUAGAGACAGGGUUUCGCUAUGUUGGCCAGGCUCGUCUCGAACUCCUGGCCUCAAAUGAUCCACCAGCCUCGGCCUCCCAAAGUGCUGGGAUUACAGGUGUGAGCCAUAUUUUAUGCCUUUUAUCAGGGCAUCCUCUGUAGGUUUACAUGACAUAAAAUUGCCCAGAGGGCAACUGAAGAGCAUCACUCUACAAUUUGGGAGAGGUAAAGGGAAAAGAAUCAGAUGGGUAAGAUACAUAAAAGGUAUAUAGCUAUGAAGUUGUUCAAUACUCAGUACACACCGUGGUUAAACACAGAUGCAAAAGCCGGAUUGCAAGUUUGAAUCUUGGCUCCAUCACUGCACAUCCUUGGGCUGGUUCCUUAACCUCUCUCAGUCUCAUAUCCCAUAAAAAAAAAAAAAGAAUUAAAUUAGUCAAUAUAAAUGUAAAAGUUCUUACAACUAGCUGGCACAUAGAAAGCUGUUAGCAGGCAGGGCAUGGUGGCUCACAUCCAUAAUCCCAGCACUUUGGG
rnacentral:lncRNA from 1 species